AGUUCGGAGAGUCUGAUGGAGCAUGCCGCGUGAGCGAGAAGGUUCUUCGGAUCGUAAAGCUCUGUUGUGAGGGAAGAACAAGUACGGGAGUAACUGCCCGUGCCUUGACGGUACCUUAUUAGAAAGCCACGGCUAACUACGUGCCAGCAGCCGCGGUAAUA
rnacentral:rRNA from 1 species